CAGCCCUGCAGGAGUCCAGCUCCCGCCUGGGCCUAGGGCCGCCACCUCCCAGGCCCAGGAUGGCAGCGGCUGCUCCCGCAGUCCCCACGCACUCCAGCCUCUGGUCUUACAGCCUUGUGCAUCCUCAGAGCACCAGCAAGAGCCCCAUUUUACAGUUCAAAGCAGACCUCCUGUGCACCAGAUCUGGAACACCUAUGACAUAGAAAAGUAUGGGUCCGCCAAUGACAUUUACUCCUUGCGAUCCACCCUACGAGGCAGGAAUUUUAAAAGUUCACCUUUGACAGAGGUUGGAAGCACAACAAAGACCAACCUGCCUGGCAGACCGGGGUGAGGGCUGCCUGGAGGGAAGGUGACCCCACCUCAGGGAGGCCACUGUGACCACAUCCUCUUGCACAGUGGGUCUUUGCCUCAGCAACUGUGGGGGAGGAAAAGCACCAACAUCCCCUCUCGGCCGAGGGGACCAGGCUCUAGAAAGCUCACAGCGGCGCUAUGGAAAAACCUGGAGACAGCCCUGGAGACGGCCCAGUGGAUGAAUAGGAAAAUGCAUGGUGUUAUGGCCAAACACCGGAACACUCUUCAGCUACCCAAAUGCACUGCAGCCGCACAGAACAUUACGGGGCAUCUCAGCGCUAUGAGGCUAGAGAGAAAGUAAAGUCUCCAAAGAUGAAGUUCAGCACAGUACGCUUUCUAGAAGGCUAAAAAGAACUGUAAAUAAAAUGUUCUUUUU
rnacentral:lncRNA from 1 species